rnacentral:rRNA from 1 species
CACACCGCCCGUCAAGCCAUGGAAGCUGAGGGUACCCGAAGCCGCUGUGCUAACCGCAAGGGAAGCAGGCGUCUAAGGUAAAAUCAGUGACUGGGGCU